rnacentral:rRNA from 1 species
AUGAACGUUGGCGGUGUGCCUAAUACAUGCAAGUCGAACGGAGAUUGUAGCAAUACGGUCUCAGUGGCGAACGGGUGAGUAACGCGUUGGUGAUCUGCCUCGAAGUGGGGAAUAACGAUUCGAAAGAAUCGCUAAUACCGCAUAGUCUCUCGGUGUUUAGAAAGCUGAGAGUAAAGGAUUUAUUCGCUUUGAGAGGAGCCUGCGUCCCAUCAGCUAGUUGGUAAGGUAAUGGCCUACCAAGGCGAUGACGGGUAGGGGACCUGAGAGGGUGGCCCCCCACAAUGGAACUGAAACACGGUCCAUACACCUACGGGUGGCAGCAGUAGGGAAUAUUAGAAAUGGACGAAAGUCUGAUCUAGCAACACCGCGUGUGCGAUGAAGGCCUUCGGGUUGUAAAGCACUUUUUGGAAGGAUUAGGAAGGAAUGUACUUCCAGAAUAAGUCUCGGCUAACUACGU